rnacentral:rRNA from 1 species
GACGAACGCUGGCGGCGUGCUUAACACAUGCAAGUCGAGCGGGAUCCAACCGGUGGCAACACCGGGGAAGAUCUAGCGGCGAACGGGUGAGUAACACGUGAGCAACCUGCCCCGAAGACUGGGAUAACACCGGGAAACCGGUGCUAAUACCGGAUGUCGUCAUUAGGCCGCAUGACCUGAUGAUGAAAGGAUUCAUCGCUUCGGGAGGGGCUCGCGGGCUAUCAGCUUGNGGUGGGGUAACGGCCUACCAAGGCGACGACGGCUAGCUGGUCUGAGAGGACGACCAGCCACACUGGGACUGAGACACGGCCCAGACUCCUACGGGAGGCAGCAGUGGGGAAUCUUGCGCAAUGGGCGAAAGCCUGACGCAGCAACGCCGCGUGGGGGAUGAAUGCCUUCGGG